UAAUGCGUUAAAACGGUUAUCAUCCUAGUGUAAGUUUGUCGUGCAACUUCGUUGUCAAAUCUGUCAAAAAGUAUCUUACCAUCAUGAAAUAUGCGUUCAUUGUCCAUUUCUGUUGGCUCGAGACUUAAAAAACGUGAUGACAUUUCCGACAUGAUGACUUCACAUGGCUAAUCAGGCACACCAGCAGGCCCGUUCAUAAGAAUUGCAAUCUGUGCAGGGACAUGUUAUUCGUCUCGCAUUGUCCAUAUGGCUGUUAACCUGGAAAAAAUGCCUGAGGCAACGUAUCAGCAAUGAUGUGCUCAUGAUAACGCCAUUAUGAGAUAUGGCUGGGAAGAUGUCCGGCUAGAAUCAUACAUCAGAUGGUCAGAUGUGUGGUAGAGGUAUUAAAUUGUGAUAAACUGGCAUAAUAAAGGUAAUGGCCUUAGAGUCCUAUAUUUAACAAAAUUAUGUCACAAACUGAUGAGGGCUAGUUGUCACAGAGAAUGUUAUGUUUUUAGGAGAAGGGUGUUUUUCAUAUUGGGUCGGGGCAAGUUGUCACAUUUUACUGACACUUUAAAUGUUUUAUUAAUUACUAAUUAAUUAAUUAAAAAAAAACAGUUUAUAAUUUUUGUUACAUUUUAGAUUUUUGCUUUUUUAAUUCAUUUUGUCUUUCAUAAUUAUUUUAUUGCUUAAAUUUUGAUGAAGAGCUCAUAAUAGUCUGUCCCAGGUUCAGUACAAGCUCAAUCAACAACAUUUCUGACAUAAUGUUGAUAACCAAAAAAAAAAAAAUUUCAUCCCUUUUUGGUUAAAAAAAGUAAAAACAGGAUAUAAAAAAGAUAUGGUGAGGGAUUUAUAUUUGGAAGUGAAUGGGGUGACUUUUUGGAGAAGCUGGAUAAGAAUUUUUUUCACACUAAAAUGAUAUUAACAUGCAUAUUGUUUGUAUUUUAUGGC
ensembl:lncRNA